CCAGGCCUACGGGGCGCAGCAGUGGGGAAUAUUGCACAAUGGGGGGAACCCUGAUGCAGCGACGCCGCGUGGGUGAAGGAGCACCUCGGUGCGUAAAGCCCUAUCGGCAGGGAAGAAACAGACGGUACCUGACUAAGAAGCCCCGGCUAACUACGUGCCAGCAGCCGCGGUAAUACGUAGGGGGCAAGCGUUAUCCGGAUUCACUGGGGGUAAAGGGAGCGUAGACGGCGACGCAAGUCUGGAGUGAAAGCCCGGGGCCCAACCCCGGGACUGCUCCGGAAACGGCGGCGC
rnacentral:rRNA from 1 species